CUACGGGGAAGCAGCAGUAGGGAAUCUUCGGCAAUGGGGGCAACCCUGACCGAGCAACGCCGCGUGAGUGAAGAAGGUUUUCGGAUCGUAAAGCUCUGUUGUAAGUCAAGAACGGGUGUGAGAGUGGAAAAUUCACACUGUGACGGUAGCUUACCAGAAAGGGACGGCUAACUACGUGCCAGCAGCCGCGGUAAUACGUAGGUCCCGAGCGUUGUCCGGAUUUAUUGGGCGUAAAGCGAGCGCAGGCGGUUUGAUAAGUCUGAAGUUAAAGGCUGUGGCUCAACCAUAGUUCGCUUUGGAAACUGUCAAACUUGAGUGCAGAAGGGGAGAGUGGAAUUCCAUGUGUAGCGGUGAAAUGCGUAGAUAUAUGGAGGAACACCGGUGGCGAAAGCGGCUCUCUGGUCUGUAACUGACGCUGAGGCUCGAAAGCGUGGGGAGCGAACAGGAUUAGAUACCCUGGGGUAG
rnacentral:rRNA from 1 species